rnacentral:rRNA from 1 species
GGUUUAAUUCGAAGCAACGCGAAGAACCUUACCAGGUCUUGACAUCUUCUGACAAUUCCAGAGAUGGAACGUUUCCCUUCGGGGACAGAAUGACAGGUGGUGCAUGGUUGUCGUCAGCUCGUGUCGUGAGAUGUUGGGUUAAGUCCCGCAACGAGCGCAACCCUUAUUGUCAGUUGCCAUCAUUAAGUUGGGCACUCUGGCGAGACUGCCGGUGACAAACCGGAGGAAGGUCGGGGAUGA